UACGGAAGGGACUAGUGUUAUUCAUAGUGAUUGGGCGUAAAGGGUACGUAGACGGUUUUUCAAGUUUAUAAAUAAAGCAUAGCGUAACUUUGUUAUAAUUUAUAAAUACUGGAUUACUCGAGUUUGGUAGAAGUUGGUAGUAUUUUUAGAGUAGAAGUGAUAACCAUCGAUUUUAAGGAGACUAACAGUAGCGAAGGCAACCAAUUAUGUUAAACUGACGUUCAGGUACAGAGGCAUGGGUAUCAAACAGG
rnacentral:rRNA from 1 species